rnacentral:rRNA from 1 species
UGGGGAAUAUUGGUCAAUGGGCGAGAGCCUGAACAAGCCAAGUCGCGUGAGGGAAGACGGUCCUAUGGAUUGUAAACCUCUUUUGUCGGGGAGCAAGGCCACUCACGAGUGAGUGGAAGGAGAGUACCCGAAGAAAAGCAUCGGCUAACUCCGUGCCAGCAGCCGCGGUAAUACGGAGGAUGCGAGCGUUAUCCGGAUUUAUUGGGUUUAAAGGGUGCGUAGGCGGACUGUUAAGUCAGCGGUCAAAUGUCGGUGCUCAACGCCGGCCUGCCGUUGAAACUGGCGGUCUUGAGUGAGCGAGAAGUAUGCGGAAUGCGUGGUGUAGCGGUGAAAUGCAUAGAUAUCACGCAGAACUCCGAUUGCGAAGGCAGCAUACCGGCGCUCAACUGACGCUGAGGCACGAAAGCGUGGGGAUCGAACAGGAUUAGAUACC